rnacentral:tRNA from 1 species
GCUCGUAUGGCGGAAUCGGUAGACGCGCCAGACUUAAAAUCUGUUGCCCUUGAGGCGUCCCGGUUCAAGUCCGGGUACGAGUACCA